UACGUAGGGUGCAAGCGUUGUCCGGAAUUACUGGGCGUAAAGGGCUCGUAGGCGGCCAACUAAGUCAGACGUGAAAUCCCUCAGCUUAACUGGGGAACUGCGUCUGAUACUGGAUGGCUUGGAUUCGGGAGAGGAAUGCGGAAUUCCAGGUGUAGCGGUGAAAUGCGUAGAUAUCAGGAGGAACACCUGCGGUGUAGACGGCUUACUGGACGGUAACUGACGCUGAGGCACGAAAGCGUGGGUAGCAAACAGG
rnacentral:rRNA from 1 species